GGUACGUUGCCCAAUCUGUCGUGAGAGCUUUGCUCUCAUACUUGAGGGACAGCAACUGCAAAAUUCAAGAAAAUGUACUGGAUAAUAAAGAUGGACACCUAUAAGCAUCAUGUUUACAAGACUUUCAUUUCAUACAUCGUGAUUGUUGAAUAUCUAUUAAGCAAGAUAUGUUGGCGAUUCGUCCAUUUACUCAUUUUAUUGUAAGUAUUUUGUUUGUUUUCCUUGAAAUAGCUGUCAACGCUCAGAAAAAAAUCCCAACCACAGGGCUCCAUAUAGACUUUCGCAAAGUCCGUUUUCUUUUUGAGGGUCUAGGAGGGGAAAAAAGAAGAAGGGGGAAACGGAACUGAGGGGUCUAAAGAAGUAAUAUUGUGGCAAGUCUAGAUAUAGGGAUGUUCGGUUUGAUAAAUUUCCGGUACCUAGCUGUAUACGGAAAUAAUUAUACCGGUAUUAUCAUUAUACCCGUCUUUUGGACGAAUUUCAGAGCAUAUCAUCAGAAAUUUCGGUAAAUGUACCGAUAUUUGUGGCGGUAUAUGUAGCCUAUAUCGGUAUACCAAACAUGGAACGGUUAAUUAUUGUUAGGCUGAGGUCCAUUCGGGUAAUCACAUCAUAUUGACUGUAUUUUCUUUUAAUCUUUUAAUUAAUUAUAUGGUAUUUUAUCUGCGUGGAUACAAAUAUUCUUCUUUUUAUUUAUUUAGAUCCGGACUCACAUUUGAGCUUCAUAUUUUUUUUCUUCUUUAUAUUAUAAGUAUACUUCUUAGAAUAUAAUCUUAAGCAUAUAUAACCAGGGGAAUAAGCACAUAAAUAAUAAGGGGAAUUAUUGUAGUGAACUCUGGCUCUGUUGUAGGAAAUAAAUCGCAGAUAGCUUAUUAUGAUGGAUUAGGUUGAACUAACAUUAACAAUGCCUUUGGAAAUCUCAAGAGAUUGAUUGCAGACCAACAAUACUACAUUUAAGACCGAAAGAAUAACAACCCAUAAUUUUCGAAUUUAGCACCCCGUUUAUAUGGACUGACUACACUCAAAAAUACGCUGUGGUUAAAAAUGUCCAGGUUAAUCUAAAAACAACACUAUUUGGAGUGACUUCAGGCUUGUCAUCUCGCCUUGGUAUGAAAAUAUAAAAAGUUACACUGCUUUAUAUUUGAGACAAAAAGUUUUCCAGUGUACCGAGAUCUCGCUUGUUGACAGGCGAGAUCUCGGUGACCGGGAUAAUGGUUUUCCCAAAUGAACACAACUUUCCCGCUUACCGGGAUAACUUUCGGUCGUGUCAGCAACUUUUCAAUUCAAUUCUUGUUCAGUGCUACGUCACAGUCGGAAACUUUACCCGGUAAGCGGAAUAAAGUUUCUCCAUGUGAUCAGAACAAAAGUAUUUGGCUAGUCGAAAAGUUUUCUCCUAACCGGGAUAACUUUUGCCCAUAUGAACAGGCCCUUAAUGUUACUGGUUAAAUUAAUGGUUAAUUUGAUCAUAGUUCUGGCUAACUUAACAAGAAUUCUAUGCGAGAACCUCUGGCAACCAGGAUACAAGAAUUAGCUUAAUUUAACCAGGUUAUAGGGUUGAAUUGUUUUACCAGUGUUUUUAGAGUGUACCGUCUCUGGGGGCGUGCCUUUUUCGAGUGUUUUGCGCAAUUGAACAUUUGUUUAAAUGAGAAAACAAGAAAUGAGUUGAAGGAAUAUUUUAUAGAUGUCUCUUAACUGCAAUGACAAAAGAAACCCGUCCGAACAAAUGAAUAAUAACUUUACAAUUCGUAUUACGUUUCCUGUAUCGGAAUACACACACGUAUAAAAACGCACAAGUGGUAAGAAACAGCAGCAGACUUGUAACAAUGCUAUAUGGUAAACGGGAUGUGUUUCGGUACUGCCUGUUCCCAGCUUCACGACAAGUUGCCAACGGCUUGUAUAUGACAAGUUCAUACAAGGUUGUCGAGCUCCACAAACUUGUUACAAGUUAUUCCAACAAGUUGUCAUCGUCCUGCACUGACAAACUUGUAGCAACUCGAUAAAAUAACAGCGUUGUUACAACUUAAUUGUUGACAUGCAAGCUUGUUACAAAACUUGUUACAAGUCUAUUGCGAACACUCAACACAUCUUGUUGACAAGUUGUGCGAUUUUUACUUAUUAUGAUUUAAAUAGCAUAAAUAUAGAUGGCAUGCAUGAAGUAUGUUUAAUGCUAUACUAUCGAUGUUAAUUUCACCUAAACCAGCCUUGACUAGAUUUGAUAAUAACUAGAUUUGCACAUAUCAAGAAGAAUUUUGCCAAUAACUAAUUGUAGGCUAACUUUAUUUUAUAUUUGCUUAGCGUAAAUGCCUAUAACUCCCAUGGUGAAAUAUUUUCAGUGCAUUUGUUCCACAUGUGACAACCAUCAAAUCCUAUUCUAAAUUUUGACCAGCUCGCGGAAAGGAACAAAAGGUUUAGGUUUUCCUUUAAAAAUACCUAUAAACAGUGCCUGAAAAGCUAUAACAAAUAAUUCAACUAAACACAUUUAAAUUUGCAAAAUACUGAAUUAUUGAACUAUGGGCUAUAGGUGCAAUAUAGUUAAAAGUAUAACUAAUUAGAAUAAUUCGUAAACGUCCUUUUGUAAUGAAAAUACUUAAGUGGAAUUAAUCCUAUAUAUACAUUUUGGAUUUGUUACUAAAUUUGUAAUGAUUCGUGUUUUUCAUUGCUAGUAAAUAUAUUUACAAUUAAGUAUCAAACAUGCAGAGUCAUAAUCAUUUCAUAUUAGUUCGGCUUCAGAUCCUAGGGUGUAUCACUCCAUAAAAGAGUAGGACAUGUUUGGGAAAUUUUAGGAUCGGUUAGUAUUGGCAGAGAUUUUUAGGGAUUUCAUAAAGAUUUUUUAGGAAUUUCAUAAAGAUUCUUCAGGAAUUUUUAAAAAAGAUUUUCAGGGUUUUCUUCGAUGUGUACGAGAUAUUCUAAGUGACAUAUCCUUCAGUUAGAUCUCUGGGAAUCUAAUCAUGUCUUGUCCUGUUUUAGGCAGCAAACAGAAAGCAAGAUCCGUAUACACGAAAUGCUUGGGAUAAAACACGGAUCCGGAAUUGCGGAAACGGAAUAGCGGAAUUCGGGGAUAAAACGCGGAAAGGACAAAGUUCGCCGUCUUUUAAUGCCGACAACCAGAACACCUACAGUUUAUAACACAAAGCUUCACACAAAAACUCCUUAGCAAUUAUUAGCCUUUUAAAUUAAAAGACUUUCCCUUCUUUCAGAAUGAACGAAAGAAUGAAAUAAUUUUCGAUUUUUAAGACUGCCUUUCAAUUUAAAAGACAGGAAAUUACAGGUUUAUCAGGAGAAUCGCUGACUUGGCGUCUGACUGACCACAGUUAUUUUAAUAGAUGGUUUGGAGGCUCGAUGAAAGUACAAUAUAACUCAUUAACAAUGUUAUUGUCCAGCUUUAUGCAAGAAUUUGGUCCUAUCUCGUCACGUGUGUAUUGUAUUAUCGCUCAAAUAACCAAUAACAAGUUUGUGGUUGAGUUAUCCAUCCGUAACUUGAACAAAUGCUCAAUUUAAACAUUGCUAUUGGUUGUGCGGGAAAAAUACAAUACACACGUGACGAAAUAGGCCCAAAUUCUUGCAUAAACCGAAACCAACAUAGUUAAUGAGUUAUAUUGUACUUUCAUCGAGUCUCCAAACC